CCGCCUCCUCCCGGCUUCUCCAGACGCCAGUCGAAACCUGAUCGGCCCCUUUCUCCACCGCACGGGAGGAGCCGGGAUUGCUGGCGAAACCAGGAAAGCACUGGCGGCGACGCGCACGCACGCACUCACGCACGCACGUCCGAGGCCGGCAGGGCGGCAGGCUCGCGCCCGGACUCGCCCCGCAUCCGCGCCAGAGGCUCGCGCACUCAGCGGGUUGUGCUGCGGUGGUGGCGGCGGCGGCUGCUGUGAGAGCCCGAGCACUGCGCGUGCCGAGACCCAGACGCGUCUGCGGCGCUCGCCUCGCCACCCUCCUCUCUCACCUCAGUCUCCGCGCCGCGUUCUGAGGGAAGGAACGGCGCUAGGCUAGCGAAGCCCGAGCGCACCGCUGGCUGCCUCCGACACCGCCCUGCGUCCCUUCGCGGCCGCGGGCCCGGCUCGGUGCUAGGCGACUCUGCGGGGAGGCGGCGGCGGCGGCUGCCGGUCGGUGGAGGCACUCUCCCUUCAGCCUCGCCCCUCUGCCCGGCCCUGCAGGGGCCGAGAGGACUCGGAGGCUGCCCCUUCAGCUCGGCCCUCUUCGUUAGCGGGUUGGAGCUGCAGCGGUCUGGAAGAGGUCUCUGGGCUGAGGCGGCGGCGGCGGCUCCUCCGGCUCCAUCAUGUCCGCGGGCGGAGACUUCGGGAAUCCGCUGAGGAAAUUCAAGCUGGUGUUCCUGGGAGAGCAGAGCGUUGGAAAGACGUCCUUGAUCACCCGAUUCAUGUAUGACAGUUUUGACAACACCUAUCAGGCAACAAUUGGCAUUGACUUCUUAUCAAAAACAAUGUACUUGGAGGAUAGAACCAUCAGGCUGCAGCUGUGGGAUACUGCGGGUCAGGAACGUUUCCGUAGCCUCAUUCCCAGUUACAUCCGUGACUCUGCUGCAGCCGUAGUAGUUUACGAUAUCACAAGUAGGUAUACUGCGAUGGGUUGACCUUUCUUACUUUUCUCGCUUGUUUGACUGAUUUUGUUGUUAGGUGCGAUUGCAAUUAUGGGACACAGCAGGUCAAGAGCGGUUCAGGAGCUUGAUUCCUAGCUACAUUCGAGACUCCACUGUGGCAGUUGUUGUUUAUGAUAUCACAAAUGUUAACUCAUUCCAGCAAACUACAAAAUGGAUUGAUGAUGUCAGAACAGAGAGAGGAAGUGAUGUCAUCAUCAUGCUAGUAGGAAAUAAAACAGAUCUUGCUGAUAAGAGGCAAGUGUCAAUUGAGGAGGGAGAGAGGAAAGCCAAAGAGCUGAAUGUUAUGUUUAUUGAAACCAGUGCAAAAGCAGGAUACAAUGUAAAGCAGCUUUUCCGGCGUGUUGCUGCAGCUUUACCUGGAAUGGAAAGCACACAGGACAGAAGCAGAGAAGACAUGAUUGACAUAAAACUGGAAAAGCCUCAGGAGCAACCAGUCAAUGAAGGCGGCUGUUCCUGCUAAUCCCCCUGGCAUCUUUCAACCCUCCUGCAGAAGCUCACUGCUUUGGCCCCAUACUCUUUCAUUGACUGCAGUGUGAAUAUUGGCUUGAACCUUUUCCCUUCAGUAAUAACGUAUUGCAAUUCAUCAUUGCUGCCUGUUUCGUGGAGGUGAUCUAUUAGCUUCACAAGCACAAAAAAGUCAGUGUCUUUAUUAUUUAUAUUUUUUAAAAGCCAAACAAUUCCAGCAUACUCGUGAUAACUUUGAGGAUUAGAUACAUUUUCUUAACAUUUUUUUCCCUUUUUAAUGUUAUGAUAAUGUACUUAAAAUGAUGAAAAUCUCAGCAGUAUGUGUGUGGCUUGUUAAAGAGCAGCGUGUUCAUAGCAGCGUUGCCUGCCUUCUUGCUGUCUAUCAGCCUUUCUUGCCUCUUCCUUUUCGCCUUCCCUGUUCUUCCCUUUCUCAAACAAACAAGACAUGGCAAACCGCAGUCUAACCCAGCCCUUUGAAAUUAUCCAUAGUUUUACAGACAGCUCCAGGCUAUGAGCCACAAUGUCCAAAAUUAUUCUUGAGCACUGAUAUAAAUUACUUAGACCUUCUUUGAGGGCAGAACUCAGCUGUUGCUCUCAUGAUGGGCAGUGCUGGAAAGGGUUCUGGUAUGUCUUCAAAAUGAGUCCACGAGUUUACUGAGUGCUUACAGGUAAAGGAAUGAAUAUAAGAUGUCUUUCUGAUCAGAACAGGUGUCCCUUCACAUGAGCUUUACUAGACUCUGGGAGGGAAAAGUAGCCAAGUACUUCUGAACCAUUUUUUAAUACUUGUUUCGUCAUGGUGAAAUUAUAGCAGUUAUCCCAAAAUGUUUUAAUUAUCAAAAUACUGUCUUUUAAAAAAAAAAAAAAAAAAGUAACACCUUUUAAAGCAUUAGAUUUCACUUGGGUUUCUUUUCCAAAAAAUGCUAGGUAGACAAGGCAUUGUAAACAUGAGUUUCCUUUAAGAACCAUCAGAAUAUAAAUUUAACAUGAAGAAAACUGCUAUAUCUAGUAGAAAUAAUAUCUAAAGUUUAACAACUAAAGUACCCUCACAGAAUAGCAAAUACCCUUCUGCUCUGGACAUGGGUUCAAAUUUGAAUAUGGAAAUAAUAUCCUUGGAAGUCCCUAGAGGCAGGUCAGAGGAAGUAUGCAUUAAGAGGGAAAGGAGAGAAUGGAAAUAAAAGUCACUAUAAUGCAGAUUUAUGCCUUAUUUUUUAGCAUUUUUUAAAUGUUGGGUCUUUCAAGGUGUUUUUUGCUUUUUAUUAGAUCUAUAUAAAUAAGUUAACUAGCAAUUUAGUUUUGUAUUUAAGCUACACUUAAUCUUUUUCUUUGGUGAUAUUUAUUUCUUUGCCUUUUUUUUUUUAAAAAAAACUUAGAAUUUUUAGGUGUUUUGUUGAACAUUUAGAGCUUCAUCACCAUGGCAAUAUGUAUUUCCCUUGAAACAUUGCAAACAAAUAUACUAGGAGUGCACCCUUUUAAUCUUUACUAGUUAUUGUGAGAUUGCUGUGUAAGUUAAUAAACACAUUUGUAAAUACAUUAUUUGCAGGAAAAAAAUUCUGAGUUCUAGCUCAGAAGCAGCCUGCGGAGUUUAUGUUGUAAGCAUUACUUAACACAGUAUAAAGAUGAGAAGGUAACAAAAAUAACUUCAUACUUCCUCACCUCCUCAUUGCAGCAAAAUCCCUAACUGGAAAACCCACUCCCCUCUCCCCAUCCUCCUCCACUUUCACGUACUGUCACCUUGUAACAUUUGGAGAGCACUUGGAUUAUGGAUCUGAAUAGAGAAAUACUUUCAGAUGAUCAUUAGCCCACAUACCCUGUAACUUAUACUCAAACAUGGGAUGGAGUUGUAAAGUGCUUUUAUAAUACACAUUAUUGUUAAAAGCAAGGAUUGACUCUUUUGUUUUAUUUUGACAUGGCAUGUCCUGAAAUAAAUAUCAAUUCAAUAUGG